AUGCAGUAGAGUAAAGCUAAGUUUCCUUUUGUUUGGGUAUUUUUUUUUCUUCUUCAGUUGUCUCUGCCAUCUUUGUCCUGACCAUUAGUGCUGUCCUGACUAGCUCACUUAUGAGCAGAAAAAAAUUAUCAAACCUUCAACCAGAAGUAAACACAUCACUUUGGACCACUCAAAGACACAGUCUACCUGCUGUUUAACCCAGUCUUUGGUUGGAGGUGAAGAAGAGAUGACAUCCUCCACACCAUCCCCCUGCUGCUCUCAACAACCAUCAUCGCUGUGCUGGACAGACUGCAGCACCCACCGGGACCCUUCUCUCAUGGACUACACAAACAUGUGUUUUACCUGCUUGUGCUCCAGAUGUCCUGAAGCAGCUCUCAAGGACCACCAGACACCAGGCUGAAGCAGAACUGAUGCUGUAGUACCUGUCACUCACUGGGCUCGUUCCUGCUGAAACUCCAAGAAAUAAACCCCUCUUCAAGAAAGUCUGAGGUAAUGUCUUGGUGAACUUGUGUUCAUUUAUUUUUUCUUAGUUAUCUUAGCUGCUGUAUUAAUGCUUGUGAUGCUAUUGUACAGCUCUGCUGAUACCAUCGUCUUUAACAGCAGUGUUUUCUCCCAGGUCUUCUUUAAGCCAGUUAAGAGAGGAAGAACAGCUUAGACACUCAGACAGCUGAACACACCAAAGGUGGACAUCAUGCAGCCACCCUGAGCCUUGACCCUCUCUGUGUGAGGAAGCUUUGCUGCUGCAGACCUGGUGAAGUUGCUCUGCUGCAGUGCUUAAGGUAUUCAUUGUAAUGAUGUGUGUAUUUAUUCAACAUGUUUAGUUUCACAGAUUAUCAACACAAAUGUUUCUGUUUAUUUCCUGUUUUGAACCAGCUACAUUCUCCUACUUCAAGUCACUGUCUGUUCAUCCACGGUGUAGCAAGUGCAGCUAACUAAUGGUGAUCCUACAAUCAAUUGUAUUGAUUACAGAGUUAAAGUGAAGGGGAUUUUGUUUGUUUUUUUCAGACCUCUCCUCCUCCCGCCUCUGACUCCAGUGAUGCUGUCAACUCGAACACUGAUAACUGCACACAGUGAUUCUACAACCACAGGUCAAAGGUCAAAACAUUACCUCACUCAAAACCUUCACUCUGAACUGUACCGGGCUCGGCUUUUGGUUUUGAAAAAAAGUGCCCAGACAGAACACAGUACUCACUUGAGGAACUGACUGAUUGUCUUCAGGACAGGACAACUAUCACUCUUAUAUUGUUUUGAAUCCUGUUUUCUACAUUAAAUGAUCGGUUGUCGAUAUCUGUUAAUAUUUUAAGUUUCCUGUUUCUUGGACUUUAUUUGUUCUAUCUUAUUUUAGUAUUUUCUUUCCCUUUUACUGUGUAUCUCUCCUUAUAUCAAAAGAUGACCAACACUGAUGAACGGAAAAGUUGUUGCAGGCAGCUGAAUUUCUCGUUUUAAUAUGCUCACCAUAG